rnacentral:lncRNA from 1 species
UGUGUUUUCUAACCUAAAAAUUUGUUUUGCUGGUGUUUGUUUAUGUUUUUGAGUAAUUAUUGUUAUAUUAACAUAUUGAACUUUUUUCUUGUUAAAAAUUAUGUUAAAAUGUACGUAUAUAUUUAUGUAAAAUUUAUGAUUUAUAGGAGAAACAUGAUUUUUUUUUUAGAAAAAAAUUACCUACUUGGGAUUAUGUUUAAUCUAUUGUAUAAAGCAAAUGCACAUGCUUUUAUAAAAAAUAUAUAUUUAUUGUAUAAUACCAAUUUAACAAAUAUUAUUAAAGUGUUGAAAUUGAAUUCUUUGAAAAUUUAUACCGCGGGUGUCCAGGAUGUCCAGGAAUUCAGGAAAAAAAUGUAUUUGAAGGGUUCAAACUGAAACUAUAAAUGUUUACGAUGUCCAGAUGUUUUAUAAAUGAGGCAGUCCAUUUAGAUUUCAAUGAAUAAAAGAUGUAAAUGUAUUUUAUAUUUUUUACGGACUGGCACAAUAAAAGACAUUACAGAAUAAGGUAAACCAGUUAAAACGUAAGGUUUUCUUCAAAAUAAAAUAAAAAAGUUUUCUCAAGUGAAAGAAAUUAUUUAUUCUUUUUUUUAGUAGAACAGGAUGAAACUUCAACAAAACAAAAUUUAUUCAAGCAAAGGCGACGUCCUUUUUCUCUUAAUACACGCACAUAUGCGCAAUUAAAAAAGUCAAUAUAGACGCUUUGUCAGAUUUACUCAUUUAGCCCUUUACUCAUUAGAUUUACUCAUUUAGUUAUUGUAGUAUAAGAAUAACAAUAUAUAGAAAUAAGCAUAGUUAUCAAAACAUUUUAUAAAAGUAUUAUAUGUAAUAUCCUCCUGAGAUCGCCGGCCAGCUGACUUUUAAUAAACAAGGAUAAACAUAAUAGUUUAUAUACUUGGGAUACACUUAAUAUAAAAAUACGUUUUUUUUUUAAAGUCAACCUUUUCUUAUUUUUUUGAUGUCCCCUUAAAUGGACGUUGGGUCAUAAAGAAACAAAAAAAAAUGCAUAAUUAUUUAUUAUGUGUUUUAACAAAAAUAAUAUUUCUUAAACUACCAAAACUUUCGAUGUAAUUUUAUUGCCCAGUCACAUGGUAUUCAUAAAAACAAUUAUGAUCAGCAGUGACACACAAAAAAACAUCACAGCUGGUACAAUAAAAUUUGGUUUUCUUCGUACACCUUGAUGAUUUACACCGAACCGAAUUCUUUAAGUGACCAGCAACGGCUGGCAAGUGCAUGUCUUUUUUCUUUGUCAUAGGGGGAGUCAAUGGUGUUGGUGUAAUGUAGCCCAAAGCGUUAUUUCAAAUCUUUAUUGUCAAAGGUGCUUCAUUUUGGUCUUCAAAAUUUGUGGCUAAAAGUUUAUCCACAACGCUGAUCUUAAAAUCUAAAAAUUGUUGAAUUUGCUUGGCAGAAUCACCUAGUUUUUUCCUAUCAGUUCUGUAGAGGAUCCAGGCAUUUGCAAGAGCUAAAUCUAUGAAAUGUAAAAUUACUUUUACAGUCCACUUUUUAGUUCUAGUAUUGAUGCGAUAGUAACUAAUCAUUCGAUCAAUCAAUUCAAUACCACCCAUACAAUCAUUGUAUGAUUUAACAAUGUUUGGUCUAGAAAUAUCUAGGUAUUUAGCCUCCUUUUUCGACUAACGUUUACAUAUAUUUAUUGAAUCUUUUUCCAUUUUAGAUGAUGCAAAAAUUAUUGGUUUUUGAUCAUACCAUUGAACCACAUUAAUCUUUGAAUCAUCCCUUACUGAUUGUUCACUAAAACCUCGUUCGAAUUUUUUAAUUUCUUUUUCUGCUUUUAGAUGAGUUGAAGAAGGAAUUCUAGACUUCAUAAUAGUACCCGUACCAUAAAAGUUUUUAUCAAGUAAACUCUCUAACAACGAUAUUGUUGUAAAAUAGCGAUCCAUGAAGAUGUGAGAGCCACUUUUAAGGCUUUGGGAUAAUCGCAUCACUGCUGAAGCUCCAACACCCAAUUUUUUUGAAUUUUCGUCCAAAAAAGUUUGUUUACCUUGAUAGAUUUCAAAGUCAAGCACAAGUCCUUCUGGUGUAGCACAUACAAAUUUUUUUAGUCCUUCUGGAUUGGGUUUGCCUCUUACCAAUUGUUUUAGACCACAGGUGCCAGUAAAUGGUAUCAUUUGUUCAUCCACUGCAACAUUUUUUUACCUCUCUAGUUUUAAACAUCCUUGUCUGACUCUCUCGGUACUUGGUCUUACUUUCCAUAACCUGUCCUUUUGUCUAUCAUUAGCUGAUAAAUCAUUGUCAAUGACUACUUUUAAGUGACUUCUUAUUGAAAAAAAUCUAUCUUGCGUCAUGUGCCUCGCAAUUGAAUCAACUCUAGUUGUUUUGGCCCAAAACAUCUUCACCCUAGGAUAUUUUAAACAAGACAUUAAAACCGAUAUUCCAAUAAAUUUUUUUUACUUCAUCGGUCGAUAAAUCAUAAAAUAAAAGUCAAAAGUCAAAAGAUAAAAGUCGUUCUUUUAGCUUUUGCUGACAUUUUUUCCUUUAAAAUGCUAAGUGGAAUAUCAAAUUCUAGGUCUGAGUCACCAUCAUAAUCAUCUUGAUUUUCAUCUAUUUGAUCUUCUAUAAUAUCCAUAGUUUCUAAGGUUUCUUCCAAAUCUUCUUCUUCAAUUAUUGUUUCACCAAUUAUUUCCGCAUUUAUUAUCCCAUCUUCAUCGUCAUCUGAGUCUCCUUCAAACUCAGAAUCGUCAGCAUUCAAUAAUUGAAGUAGCCUAUCGUCAUCUUUACCGGGUCGCAAAUAAGUAUCAUUUCCAAAAAUAGCUAAAAAUAAUGUCAUAAAUUUAAAAUGUUUCUUAAAAUUAUUUAUUUGGCUAGUUUGAAGUUAACAAUUUAAAGCAAGUCCUAGUGUCCACUUUAAUGGAUUGAGGUUAAAUGUAAAAUUAGAGGACGGAUUCCCGACGAUCAUUUAAAUGGACAUGGCCGUUUUUUCCAUUUAUUUAAAUAAAUUUCCACUAAAGACUUAAAAUAUUAAUCGAAUUAUAAACAAAAAUCAUUUAGAAAAAGAUUAUACUAGUUUUUACAAAAAAAUAUUUAGAAAAAAUUAAAAAAUUAAGUGAAAAACAUACCGUCAAUUGUUGCACGUCCGAACGCCGACAUUUUAACAGCUGACUAGCGCUAUGUUGGCCAGCUGAUUGCACUUUUUAUGUUUAGAUGGCGCGAUGGGUUAUAGUCGAAGUAGAAAUGCGUAGAUGCACUGGUAAAUUAGAGUUUUUUUCGGAAUUACUACGUAAUAUUGGAAUGUCCACCUAGAUGGACGCAAGUUCUCAGGAGGAUAUAUACGGUAAUCAAUAGUUUAUAUUUGUAUGUUUAUUAAAUGAAGGUUAUUUAUAAUAUUGGUAAUUAAAAUAUAUUUUGUAAAAAAAUAAGCAUUUUGGAUAUGUGCCGACUAAUUUUAAAAUUGAAAAUAAAUAUAGUUCUUAUUCUAAAA